rnacentral:SRP_RNA from 1 species
GCCGGGCAUGGUGGCGUCUGCCUGUAGUACCAGCUACUCAGGAAGCUGAGGUGGAAAGAUUGCUUGAGCCCAGGAGUUCUGGGCUGUAGUGCGCUAUCCUGAUAGGGUGUCCGCACUAAAUUCGGCAUCAAUAUAGUGACCUCCCAGGAGUGAGGGACCACCAGCUUGCCUAAGGAGGGGUGAACCUGCUGAGGUCGGAAACGGAGCAAGUCAAAACUCCUGUGCUGAUCAGUAGUGGGAUCGCACCUGUGAAUAGCCACUGCAGUCCAGCCUCGGCAAGACCCCAUCUCU